CGAUGACGAUAACGCAUGUUUUUGUCAACGGGACUGCGUUUUCCGACACGUUGCAAAAUGCAACCGGCAGCCAGAGCUAAAGAGAGAGAGAGAGAGGCAGAGCUGGGACAAUAUUGCAUGCGCCACGUCUCAAUGUCUGUGACUAUUAAUAGACAGCGUCGUCCGUUUGCAUCGCGAAACAGCUGGCGGAAUUCACUCCAGCGGAAAUUCCGUAAACGUGCAUUGCAUCAUAAUACGUUUGCAACGUGUGAUUUUCAUUUUUGCACGUAAUAAGUGCACGACUCUGGUCCUUUCUGCCUUGAUUAUUCACGUGGCCGCCCUCUCCCCCAGAUCCCCUUUAUCAUUUUUAUGGGGAAAUAAAAAUCCCGACCGGUUCCUCUUCGUCUCUCUGCGUCUCCACCACGCACUCCGAUGGCCCUUGACAAUUUCCUGUUAAUAGCAAAAGUGCAUACGUAUAACAUCGCCGAUCGAUCGGCCACUUGGACGCUUAUAUAACCGCGGUGUAAACAACGACGUUGGGUAUAUUUAUAUACAUAUGUGCAGUGCUUAACAAUUUUUUCCGUACGACAGAGAUUUACGACCAGACGCGCCUCAUUGAUAUCCGAUAACUAUUAGCGGCCGCGCUAUUAUAAUGCGUGCGAUUAGUCUUGAAAAAAAUGCGCAACGGCGAACGUAUACGCACGGCGAACGUUGCGUCGUUUGCAUGGAAAAUUGACUUGUUUAUCUUCCGUUAAUCGCGCGAUGAAUGCUCUCGCUCGCGCUGAAAUUCGAAUCGCGAUACUUUGCGCGUCGUCCAAUUCCGCGACGGCGCAGCUUCUGUGUACGUAUAUGUGUACGUGUGUGUGUAUGCGCGUUAUUUUUUAUUUAUACGUCAGGUCUAGGUCUUUAUUGCGUUGCAGUUGAAGAUUCUUCAUGUUGCGCAGCAAGAAGUACCGCAGAUCGAGACUUCGCGGCGUGCGCACGUACGUAGAAUUGCCCGGGCAAUUAUAGAGGCUGUCUUCGCAUGCAGUUACGUAUAUCCAUUCAAUUACGAAUGAGCAUGAUGGAUCGGCCGUGACGAACAGCGAUACAAUGAAACGGAACAAUACGAUUAAUAAAAAGCAGCGACUGUCGCCGGCUGUCGCCCUGAAAGUUACAUCUGAUAGCGCGUUAACGUGGCGAUACGUCAAGAUAAAGGAGAGACGGAUACGCGAGAUGGGUCGGAAUAGGCGCCAAGUGGUUAAACAAAAGACAAUCAACAAUAGACCUGCGAAGGCGGCACGCAAACACACGUCCACAUCCGCGCACCUCCCUGAUUAAAUUGUGCCGGAGAAGAUAUUGGCAACGUCCCCGAAUAUUGGCAUCCCCGUGGCACCAGGAGGAUGAGGAGAACCAGCGUUGAAGGAGAACGAGGCGUGAGCAGUGGAAGAAGUCAGACGCGACCAGACGCGAUUUAACGCUUGGACUGCGCCCAGCCAAAUAACAACGAUAUUAAUUUUCUUUCAUUAAUAUAUAUGAGAAAAAAAAAUCAAAUUUAUAGCGCUGUUAGAAGACUCGCCAACGUCGUCCUGAAGUGCCACAAAAUGCCAAGUUGCCAUCAAUUCGCGCGAUGGUGGACUGCAUUACUAUAUGCAACACCGCUUGCAUAGCAUGCAUCUGGUGCAUCCUCUUUUCGGUAUGUUUUCCAAAUUUCUCGAGGAACCUUCGGAAGGCGGAUUCGAGCGAGUGCUGCAUACGCGGAAAGCCAGCUCGGAAGCGCAAUCGGGAGGCACACUCGCGUGAUUUUCCGAGAUGCGGGAAAGCUGACGCAGUUCAUGCACGACGGAGAUUCAAGGACCGUUCACGCUCUGAACGCAAUCGCGAAGACCGACGAGGACGCCGAUCUCGUUGCGAGGAGAAAACGUGCAGUCGAAUAAGAGGAUCCCAUCGAGGAAGCUUGAAGGAGGACGAAACAAUUUCGCCGACAUGCAGCGGAGUCAGAUGCGCGGAUGGUUGCAACAUCCUUGCGGGGUCGGGUGAUUCCUUGGGCAGGAAGAGCGACAACGCCGUCCUCAGAGCAGACAGCAGCGAGUAUCGCAUCUGUAGAAGAUCUUGAAUAUUUCAAGACCUUUUGUUCGUUUCCGAGAAUCGCGAACCGAGUGGAAUGUGCAAGCAAAAUAAAAGUAUCGUGAGAUGA